rnacentral:ncRNA from 2 species
CGCUCAUCCAGAGGGGCAGAGGGAACGGCCCGUUGAAGCCCCGGCAACCCUCCAGCCGGCACUCGCACAGCGCGAGGCCCCGGCGGGGAAGGUGCCAAGUCCGGCCUGCGGCGAGAUGCGCCGACAGGAAAGAUGAGGA